UGCAGUUUAUUUUCUGGGUGUUAAUGAAAGUUUAUACAUGUCUCACUGCAUUGGAGCUGACUGCAGAGAUUAAAGCACAACUUUGAAACAGCGCCAUGGUUGGUGUGCACGGUCUGCUCCUAGUUUAUCCUCCUCAUUCGUUCAGGACUUGAUAAACGUGUCCUGGGUUCUGGCAGGCCCCACAGCAGGCAGAGCCCAGGGAAGCACAAAGCUGUGCUUUCCAGGAACCCCCACACCUCCACCCUUUCCUAUCCUCUGCGUAUAUGCAUGUAUGAACACUCGUGUGGUUGGCUGGUGAUAGGCAACCAGCAUCCAGACAAAUACUCAAAAUUCCAAAUGAUAAUAAGAUGCUCUGAAGAGGGUUGAUGAGAUAGAUGGCUCAGCAGGUACAGGAACUUGCCACCAAGUCUUAGGGCCCUAGUUCAGUCCCCAGGACCCAACAGAAAGAACUGACCCCUUUAAAUUGUCUUGUGACCUCCACACAUACCCUCUUGUCUUGUGUCCCCACACAAAGUAAGUAAGUGUGGUUUCUAGCUAUCUGAAGACAAGGUAAUUGGGUGAGUGAAAGAAAGGGCUUGUGUGUCCUUGAAAUGAGCUAGUGCAGCAUCUUUGCCCUGAGGGGGGUCGUCUAUCAUAGAUAGAUGAUGAUGUCUCAGUUUGACUUCUUGCUGGAAGGGACCUGAGUUCAUAAAGCAGGGAAACCAGCUUUGUUUUUCUUUCCAGAUGUGAAAGGUGAGCUUGUCCUGAGCAAAUGACCUAGGAGAAGAGUGUUAUGUAGUUUGUUUAACACUGAGUUGGAACAUGUUGCUCGUUUUGUUCUGGAUUGUUUCUUUGACCUAUCCCACCUGCAGAUCCGGCUUCCCCUGCCUUUGCUGGUCCACACCUGGAACACCCUUCCCAGUCUGGCUAACCCCUCCUGUGUCCAGAAAGCCAGCCUUGCCUGACACUCUCCUGGAAUCUUAAAUAGGCUCUUGUUGCCACUCAGACUUAUUUUGUAAAGACCGACUGACUUUUAUAUUAUAUGCAUUUGUGUUUGCCUGCAUGUGUGUUAGAUAUGUACCACAUGUGUGCCUGUUACCUGCAGACAAAAAGAGGCCAUCAGAUCAUAUGAAACAAGUCACAGGUGGUUGUGAAACCACCAUGUGAGUGCUGGGAACUAAACCCAGAUCCUCUUUGAGAGCAGCAAGUGUCCUUAACCACUGAGCCGUCUCUCCAGCAUCUCUCCCUCAGCCCCCUUCCCAGACUUCUUUCUUAGAUAUUUGUUAUAUUCUUGAAAGACACAGCUUUCUUAUUCCCCCAUCUCUCCGUCUUGUGCAAUCUGUGGUCUCUCAGUUUCGUUCCUUUCUUGGUUUUGGCCAAGGGUGUGGAAAGCAUUUAAUGAAGGGAUAAAAUGGAGUGUUUCCUGUCCAGAAAGGACAAUAGGAGAUGGUUCCUGUUGAGAGCUAGCCCCGUGCUUCAUGCUUCCUCCUGACCUUCCGUGGGACAGACUAUAACCUGACUAAAGCCCAUUUUCUGAGCUCCUCUGAUCCGUAGUCAAAGAGGGGCUGUUCAGGGCAAUGGUUACACCGUUAUUAUGGUCCAUAUUUACAGCGCCAUCCUUGGGGCAGGACAGAUUGGAGCCAAGCAUCUGGAAUCGCGUGCACAUGUACACAUAGGCAACACUUAAGGGCUUGUGUGUGCCGCCAUUUCCUAAGAGGUUUAACUGAAAUGGAGGGCACACCCUGAGCCUGGGCAAUAGUAGUCCCUGAGCUGGUGGAGCCUAGGCCAAACAAAAUGAGAAAGCCAGCUAAGCACCAGCCAUCCCUGCUGUCUGACUGCUCACUCGUGUCCAGCCACCUGAUGGGCUUGCUGCCAUGGAGGACUGUACCUUCAAAUUGUGAGCCAAGAUAAACCAUCCCUCCCCCCCUUUUGGGGGAGGAGGAGGGGAGGUACUUUGUAAUAAAUAGCAUCGAAGACACUAAUUCAUAGGUCUAUCAGGAAUCUCCCAGCAACCCUUGCUAAAGGCCAUACACCACCCUGAAAAAUACUAGGAUAGGGAAAGGAGAAGUGUCCUGUUUGCCUGGAUUCCCAUUUGCCAGAGAAGUAUCCUAGUGUUUACCAGUGAAAUUGAAAGCCUGACUGGCCUGGGUAAUGCAGCCAGUGUUUUGCAUACAAUUUACAUGUAUUUAAAUAUUCAAGAGGAAAGUAUCUUGUUCAAUUGGUGGUUUAAUGCUUUAACAACAGGCAUUGGUAGCCUACUUUGUGGUUUAGAUUAUAGUCUUGUCUUCAGUAAUUAAAGAGUAUGAAGUGUAUAGUUGUGGAAAUUAUGAGCCUUUUGGCCACUUAUAAAAAUAAACUUUAUAGUCUUAC
rnacentral:lncRNA from 1 species